CCUACGGGAGGCAGCAGUGAGGAAUAUUGGUCAAUGGACGAGAGUCUGAACCAGCCAAGUAGCGUGAAGGAUGACUGCCCUAUGGGUUGUAAACUUCUUUUAUCUGGGAAUAAAAUGUUCCACGUGUGGGAUUUUGUAUGUACCAUAUGAAUAAGGAUCGGCUAACUCCGUGCCAGCAGCCGCGGUAAUAAGGAGGAUCCGAGCGUUAUCCGGAUUUAUUGGGGUUAAAGGGCGCGUAGGUGGAGUGUUAAGUCAGUUGGGAAAGUUUGCGGCUCAACCGUAAAAUUGCAGUUGAAACUGGCAGUCUUGAGUACAGUAGAGGUAGGCGGAAUUCGUGGUGUAGCGGUGAAAUGCUUAGAUAUCACGAAGAACUCCGAUUGCGAAGGCAGCUCACUGGACUGCAACUGACACUGAGGCUCGAAAGUGUGGGUAUCAAACAGGAUUAGAUACCCCGGUAGUC
rnacentral:rRNA from 1 species